rnacentral:rRNA from 1 species
GUGAGGUAAUGGCUCACCAAGGCGACGACGGGUAGCCGGCCUGAGAGGGUGACCGGCCACACUGGGACUGAGACACGGCCCAGACUCCUACGGGAGGCAGCAGUGGGGAAUCUUGCGCAAUGGGCGAAAGCCUGACGCAGCAACGCCGCGUGGGGGAUGACGGCCUUCGGGUUGUAAACCUCUUUCGACAUCGACGAAGCCUUCGGGUGACGGUAGGUGUAUAAGAAGCACCGGCUAACUACGUGCCAGCAGCCGCGGUAAUACGUAGGGUGCGAGCGUUGUCCGGAUUUAUUGGGCGUAAAGAGCUCGUAGGCGGUCUGUCGCGUCUAUCGUGAAAACCGGGAGCUUAACUCCUGGCUUGCGGUGGAUACGGGCAGACUUGAGUUCGGUAGGGGAGACUGGAAUUCCUGGUGUAGCGGUGAAAUGCGCAGAUAUCAGGAGGAACACCGGUGGCGAAGGCGGGUCUCUGGGCCGAUACUGACGCUGAGGAGCGAAAGCGUGGGGAGCGAACAGGAUUAGAUACCCUGGUAGUCCACGCCGUAAACGUUGGGCGCUAGGUGUGGGGAUGGGUUCCACUGUCUCCGUGCCGUAGCUAACGCAUUAAGCG